rnacentral:rRNA from 1 species
GCUCGAGUGGCGAACGGGUGAGUAACACGUGAGUAACCUGCCCUUGACUUUGGGAUAACUUCAGGAAACUGGGGCUAAUACCGGAUAGGAGCUCCUGCUGCAUGGUGGGGGUUGGAAAGUUUCGGCGGUUGGGGAUGAACUCGCGGCUUAUCAGCUUGUUGGUGGGGUAGUGGCUUACCAAGGCUUUGACGGGUAGCCGGCCUGAGAGGGUGACCGGCCACAUUGGGACUGAGAUACGGCCCAG